GGCUCAGAUUGAACGCUGGCGGCGUGCUUAACACAUGCAAGUCGAUCGGUAACGCGGGGGCAACCCUGGCGACGAGAGGCGGACGGGUGAGGAACGCUUGGGAAUCUGCCCUUCAGCGGGGGACAACCCGGGGAAACUCGGGCUAAUACCGCAUACGCUCCAAGGAGGAAAGCCGGGGACCGCAAGGCCUGGCACUGAAGGAUGAGCCCAAGCCGGAUUAGCUAGUUGGCGGGGUAACGGCCCACCAAGGCGACGAUCCGUAGCUGGUCUGAGAGGACGAUCAGCCACACCGGAACUGAGACACGGUCCGGACUCCUACGGGAGGCAGCAGUGGGGAAUAUUGGACAAUGGGCGAAAGCCUGAUCCAGCGACGCCGCGUGGGUGAAGAAGGCCUGCGGGUUGUAAAGCCCUUUCGGUAGGGACGAAAGCUCUUGCCUUAACACGGCAGGAGGUUGACUUAACCUACAUAAGAAGCACCGGCUAACUCUGUGCCAGCAGCCGCGGUAAUACAGAGGGUGCGAGCGUUAAUCGGAAUUACUGGGCGUAAAGCGCACGUAGUCGGCUUUGCAAGUCGGGUGUGAAAUCCCCGGGCUCAACCUGGGAACUGCAUCCGAGACUGCAUUGCUAGAGUAUGGGAGAGGGAAGCGGAAUUUCUGGUGUAGCAGUGAAAUGCGUAGAUAUCAGAAGGAACAUCAGUGGCGAAGGCGGCUUCCUGGACCAAUACUGACGAUCAGGUGCGAAAGCGUGGGGAGCGAACAGGAUCAGAUACCCUGGUAGUCCACGCCCUAAACGAUGAGAACUGGAUGUCGGGAGGGUUUGCCUUCCGGUGUCGUAGCUAACGCGUUAAGUUCUCCGCCUGGGAAGUACGGC
rnacentral:rRNA from 1 species